AUCUAAAGUUAUAUUCCUUUUUUGGCCAAUCAUGGUGCCUCAUUUUAACUAAAGAGACCUGAUUAUCCUUUGAAUCUGAAGCAGCCAUGUUGAUGACACAGACAGCUGAUGAAGCGCAACUCUUGCUUCUAAUAUUAAGAGAAUGUCAUCGUGACAGGGUCUCUAAACAAAUUCCGGAAAUCCGGGCACUAAGCUCUGGCUAUGCGCGGGGUCCAGGGAAUGGUCGGACUACAAAGGUCUAUUGUACGCAGCCUACAAAGGUCUAUUGUACGCAACCUUAUCCUGUAUUUCUGCAAGAAGCUAUUUUCAUGGCUCAAACCCGUAAUUGCAGCAACUUUACCAGUGAUAACAAAUGUAUAGUUAAGGUGGGCACAUGCUGACGCAAAUUUGGUUCAAAAAAGAAGAUAAGAUGCCCAUUUUGUUCGACCCUGCUUAGUGCUUGAAAUUUCAGCAUCCUCUUAUAAUGUGAGAGCUAGUAAGUUUGCUUUGUGGACUACCUUAAUAUUCCACUCUUGUUUAUUUAUUCUAAAGGAAACCAUCUUGUGUUAGAUGGCAGCUAAUAAGAAAAAGGACCACUCAGAUGGUAGUAAGAAGAGUUAAGAAGGGUCUACCAGUAGAUUGACUUUUCACGCCCUUAAGAAAUGAGAAAUGAAAUGCGUAAUUUACCAUGA